GCAUGACCACAUCCAUGACCAAGUCGUUCCCCGAGUGCAGCCUGCCAGCCUGCCAGCCUGCCAGCCUGCCAGCCUGCCAGCCUGCCAGCCUGUAAGCCUUGCCAUUCUUGCCAACCUGAUAGCCUUGUCAGCAUUGCCAGCCUUGACAGCCUUGCCAGCCUUGCCAGCCUGCCAGCCUGCCAGCCUGCCAGCCUGCCAGCCUGCCAGCCUGCCAGCCUGCCAGCCUGCCAGCCUGCCAGCAUUCCAGCCUGCCAGCCUGCCAGCUUG
rnacentral:lncRNA from 1 species